rnacentral:rRNA from 1 species
GGCGGCGUGGCUAAGAAUGCAAGUCGUACGGUGUAGCAAUACACAGUGGCGAACGGGAGAGUAAUGAAUCGCUAAUGUGCCCCGGACUCUGGGAUAGCUAUCCGAAAGGGUAGGUAAUACCAGAUGACAUAUCUCUAUCGCAUGAUAGAGAUCUCAAAGGUCCGCCGGUCUGGGAGCAGGCGAUUUCGUAUCAGCUAGUUGGUGAGGUAACGGCUCACCAAGGCGACGACGCGUAGCCGGACUGAGAGGUUGGCCGGCCUCAUUGGGACUGAGACACUGCCCAGACUCCUACGGGGGGCUGCAGUAACGAAUCUUCCGCAAUGCACGAAAGUGUGACGGAGCGACGCCGCGUGUAGGACGAAGUCCUUCGGGAUGUAAACUACUGUCAGGGGUUACCAAGUUCUGAGGAGCCCCAGAGGAAGGCACGGCUAACUCUGUGCCAGCAGCCGCGGUAAUACAGAGGUGCCGAGCGUUAGGCGGAAUCACUGGGCUUAAAGCGUGUGU